rnacentral:rRNA from 1 species
AAACGAUGCCAACCAGCAAUCCGCCUGAGUUCCUUAAAUGACUCGGCGGGCGGCUUCCGGGAAACCAAAGUUUUUCGGUUCCGGGGGAAGUAUGGUUGCAAAGCUGAAACUUAAAGGAAUUGACGGAAGGGCACCACCAGGAGUGGAGCCUGCGGCUUAAUUUGACUCAACACGGGAAAACUUACCCGGCCCGGACACUGGCAGGAUUGACAGAUUGAGAGCUCUUUCUUGAUUCAGUGGGUGGUGGUGCAUGGCCGUUCUUAGUUGGUGGAGCGAUUUGUCUGGUUAAUUCCGAUAACGAACGAGACUCUAGCCUACUAAAUAGGCCACCGGCUUACUGACGUCGGUGGGACUUCUUAGAGGGACAGGCGGCGAUUCAGCCGCACGAAACAGAGCAAUAACAGGUCUGUGAUGCCCUUAGAUGUCCGGGGCCGCACGCGCGCUACACUGAAGUGAUCAGCGUGCAUUACAAACCUGCUCCGUCAGGAGUGGGGAACCCAAUGAACCUUCUUCGUGAUUGGGAUAGGGGAUUGUAAUUAUUCCCCUUGAACGAGGAAUUCCCAGUAAGCGCGAGUCAUAAGCUCGCGUUGAUUACGUCCCUGCCCUUUGUACACACCGCCCGUCGCUACUACCGAUUGAAUGAUUUAGUGAGGUCUUCGGACUGGCCGGCGCAGCUGUCUUCGGGCGGCCGCGCUGUGUUUGGAAAGAUGCCCAAACUUGAUCAUUUAGAGGAAGUAAAAGUCGUAACAA